rnacentral:other from 1 species
AAUUCCAGCGAGAGACAGAGGGAGCGAGCGGGCGGGCUGGGCGAGCUCUGUGCAGAGCCGCUCUCCGGGCGUCCUGGGAAGGCAGCUUGGGAGCGAGAGGGGCUUCGCUCGCCUCCGGGCCUGCCGCUCCCCCUGCCCCAGCCCUCCCGCGGUCGCAACCCUCGCCCCCUCUGGGAAACUUUGCCCAUUGCAGCGGGCGGACACUUUUGCACUGGGACUUACAGUCUGCGAGUGAGGACAGGACUCCCCAGGCGCCGGGGAGGAAAUUUUUGUCUAUUUGGGGACAGUGUUCUCUGCCUC